rnacentral:lncRNA from 1 species
UAAAAACCCACUUUAGGACUAAUGUCAUUUCGUUUCCAAAGACCAAAGCUUUUAAGCGAGUGCAAGAAAGUGCAGUUUCUACUUUCUUGCACGCAAAGCCUUCUUAUAUUUUGAAAAUAUAAAACGUGUAAUUGUGUGGAUAAAAUUUCAGACAUAUAUGCUUAUAUAUUUCGAGAGAUGUGAAGUUCCUUAUUGUUCACUUGCAAUCUUUACUCAGGUCAGCUUCUUGCUUUUUCAACUUCCAUUCUUUGUUUCUAUUAUUUUUUUUUCCCUUCUAUGGAUCUUGCUCUGUCUAAUGAAGAGAAGAAAAAUCAAAUUUGAUUUCAAAACAUGCAUCGAUUGUUUGUUUUCUGCUGUUCUUUGUUUGUCAGUUUUUAUGCUCCGCCCAAGUAAUGCUGUUGCUUCAUGCUUGAUGAGGAAGGCGUAGACCCAAAGAUAGUAUAUUACUGAAUCAUAAAAAUGUCUCCUUUUUCGAACUUCUGGUUUCCAGAUCUAUUAAUUUUAUCGUUUUUGAUUAGUUUAUUUUUGUGGUUGGUGUUUACUUCUUUCUUAACUUGUGAAAAAGUUUUGUGCUUUUCUGUUUUCAGGGGAGUCCAUUCAAGAGUUUGGACGAAGCUAUAUGUGCAGCUUUUCCCCGGGUAUUUUUGUUUGUUCUUUAUGUAGUUCAAUCAUUCACCAUUUUAUGCUUUAUUUAAUUCAUUUCUAUAUAAAUUCUAUACUUUUUUCUAUAUAUUGGUCUUAGGACGAAAUGCACCCAGAAAAUUUUGACUCAAUAUUGUGGGUUCCUAUUUUUUGGUUCGGGAAGAAGAAAAAUAUUGGUUCCACAAGGUAAUAUAUUCUUGAGUUAAGAGUUUCUGUGGCUGCGUUAAGCUUAAAUUCUAGAGUGCAACUGAAUGAUAGCUCAAUUUCUUAGGAUGGCAAGUUAUGGGAAUCUUGUUUUGCUUUGUUUUCCUUGAUGAUAUUCCUGACUACCAUUAUCGGUCUCUGGGAAAUCUAGUCAUUUUUCUACUUACAUAUAUAACACAUUUUCUCUUCACAGAUCCAAACCCUCUUUGCAUCACUGUAUCCAAUCCUUCUAAUAUUGAAAAUUUCACCGAUUGAUAAUCUAUUUAAAAUCCAUAAAUUGUUCUUUGAUGCAUAUGUAUACUCAUUUUUAGGCACCAUACACAUGGAUGAGUAAGUUGUUUCUUCUAUAUUUUCCAUGAAUAUGCUCUGUUUUGUUCAUUAAAUCUGUGCAUGAUUGGAUGGAAAUAAUUGUUUUUGAUUUGGUGUCCGAAGUGUUGUUGAAUACAUAAUAUACUUAUUUGUCUCUCAAUGCUAGUAGUAAAUAAGACAUUGUUUCAUAAUUGACCUCUGUAUGAGCACCAAUUUUCCGUAGUUUUCAUGUGAAUUUUUUGUUUUUUAAGCUCAUUUCAAUGCACUAGUAGUUAAGCUCCCUCCUUGUUCAUUUUUGAAAAGGGCUACUGAAUGAUAGUCAGCUUCUUAGGAUGGUAUGCUACACUAUAUUCUUCUUGAUGAUAUUUUCUGAUCACUAUUCUUGGCCUCUAGCAACUCUAGUCCUUUUCUUCUUAGAUAACACAUUUUCUCAUUUGAUCCAAUAUCUAUUGCAUCACUAUCCAAUACUUCCAAUAUAGAAAAAAUACUUAUUGAUUAUCUAUUCAAAUCUAUACAUAGUGUUUGAUGCAUUUAUAUACUCAUUUUUAGGCACCAUGCACAUGGAUAUGUUAGUUGUCUCUUCUGUGUAAUUUUUUAUUUCACUCAUGCAUGGAAAAUUUUGAAUCUAAAUUUGAUCAUAUUGGAAGCUGGUACAAAACCAAUAAAUGGCCUUUUCACUCUGGUGGUAUGAAAGUAUAAAUGCAUCUACAAGUUGACACUGGUUAAAAAUGUAUUAUUUGGUGUGUGGUUUGUUCAUUAUGUUUCCUCGUUAGCAUGCGUAGUUUACAUAUUCCUUUCUGAAGGAGAUUAAUAAGUCUUGUUACUUUACUUUCUAAAGUAAAGCGUCUGCCUAUUAUUUCAAUAAACUUGUAUAUGGUUGAACUGAUAAUAAUUUGAUUUUUGCUGCAGUGCUGUUGAAUAAAUAUGAACUUAUUUCAGUAUUCCUCCGCUAGAAAUAAUAAAUGGUGGAGGUAACUGAGAUCACAAUUGGUAUACAGGUGAAUGUAUAUUUAUUUUUCUCCGCUCUAUUCUGUUCUACCUGCACAGAUCAGAUUAUUCAAUAAUUUAUUUCACUUUAGGUAACAAAUUGUUGUUGGUAGGGUGCCCAAGGAGACAAUUAUUGGUCAUUUGUUCUUAUUUUCAAAAUAUAUAGCUCGUCUUUUUCAACAACAGUUAAUGACCAAACAUAUUGAUCAGUGCAUGAUGCUUAGAGGUCUCCUGUUAAGUAGCAUAAUUAGUGAUUAAAUAGGACUACAGGUAAUGUGCAAAGGUUAGGUAAUAAGGAUUUCCAUGAUCCUGUUGAUGAUUGAUGAAAAUGCAAAUAUAUACUGUUGUAGCAGACCCUAUUCUUAUUAUUAUUGUUAUCUCUUUUAUUAAACAUUGAUGGAACGAGAGAAAACUUUAUUAGUUUACUUGUUCAUCGCUGCUCUAAAGUUUUUCCUUUAAAAAAUUAGUAACAAUGAUAAAUGAACUGUUCAAUUCUCUAUGAAGAUUUUAUUAAGAAUAUUUUUAGCUGACUUUGAAACUACCUUUACUUUGUUUAAGGUGCUAGAUAUUUUUACCAGCUGGUGCAUAUUAAAAUGGGUUAUUUAUGAUUCAACAAACAUUCAUAGCUGUGAAUGUUAGAGCUUCAUGCUUAAGCAUCGUCUUAGAAUUAGCAGCCCACAGUCUCCCGUGCUUCGGAUCGUUUCUCCAACUGUGGCCUAUUCUCUAAUGACUCAUUUCGAUAGUAUAAACCCCAAACUCUCCAUUGUCAGGGUCUGUUUUAACAACCCAUUCAAACCAGUCCCUAGCCACUUCGAUAUUCUUGUUCUUCGACAUCAAAGCUACCACAACAACAAUAACAUUUGCAUCGUUGUUUGACAUAGAGAGGGCUUUGGAGUAAACAAACUCCAGCUGAUCAUCAGAUACCAUACAAACAUAGGUAGCCCACAGAACACCACUAGCAGGACACUCUUGUAGCGCCCUCGCCAUCAACAAACAAGCCUUAUUCUUUUUCACAUUCUCCAAACAACGAUCAAUCUCAACGGCCCAAAGUUCCGGGUUGCAUGGGUUGACCUCUUUAGCCUGAGAAUACACAUUUUGAGCAUGCGAGAAACCGUCUAUCUUCUCCACCACGUUAGCUAGAGAAAUCCAAAGUGGAAUGCAGUUCUGACAAUUAUGAAGACCUUUUUGAUAAAUUUCUCUUACAUCUUCAAAACGAGCAAAUCUCUCCUCCAACUGGCCUAACAUUAGCCACAACUUGAAAAAAGAUGGAAAAUGUUUGAUUCCUUCAGAAAGCAACUUCUUCUCGUCUGCUGGGUUUGUCUAUGUCCUUUCACAUAUAGCUGGUUUGAUCCAAACUUGAGUAGAAUCAGGAUGACUAGUACCAACUGUUAGAGUGCAAUUUAUGCAUUAGUUUUGCAUUGUUUACUUCCCUUAAUAUCGAUGUUUUGCACUUAAUAAUAGUGAUUUACUUGUGUUUUACUUUUGUAGGUGCAAUUCUAUUGAUUGGUGAUAAAAUUGAGCUACAAGAUGAUGUUUAAGGAUGAUUGUUCUCUUAGAGAAAUUAUGAGCGUCAGAAGAACUUUGUUGAUAAAGCAUGGGCGCGUGCUGUCAACUACGGACCUGCAGUUUUUAGUUUAACGUGUUUUGUAUUUUUGGUUAUUUUUGUAAUUACGAAUUUAAUAUUUCAAAUAUUAGUAUUUUAUUUUAAAUAGAACUCUAAAGGAGAAGAGAGAAAGAGGAUUUAAAGGAGGAAUCUAUUGUGAAAAAUGAGACUUUUGGAGGAAAGAAAGAAACCCUAGAUCUAAAUUUUUUUCUUCUCUCUAUAAAGAACUAAACCUAUUAUUCUGGUUGAAGGUUAAUGAAGUUUUGAUUCAUCACUACUGUGAG